UACGUAGGGGGCGAGCGUUGUCCGGAGUUACUGGGCGUAAAGCGCACGCAGGCGGUCUGUUAAGUUUGGAGUGACAGUUGGUGGCUUAACUGCCAAAGUGCUUCGAAAACUGACAGACUUGAGGGCUUCAGAGGGACACGGAAUUCCGGGGUGGAGUGGUGAAAUGCGUAGAGAUCCGGAGGAACACCAAAGGCGAAAGGC
rnacentral:rRNA from 1 species